rnacentral:lncRNA from 1 species
CUCGUACCUGUUGGUGUGAAUGUGGAUGUGUCUAACGAUAAAAUAAUCUGCAGUUUGCCGGCUUUUAAGAAAGAACAGAAUGCUACAGCAGAAUGCUCCUUCCUCUGAUCUCUUCAGAGCAGGAGCUCCCAUCCCUUUGGUGAAGUGAUUUGACCACACCUAGGAAGUGCCAUCUACAAGGUACAACAAAGAUGUACCCAAGGACAAGACAGUAAGGGGAGACACCCAACCUCCAGAACAGGAAAGGAGGUAAGAUUAACCUUGAACCUUCACCCAAAAACCAUGCCCCUACCCCCACCCUAGCUGACCCUGGGCAAAGCACCUCCUGCCCCUAGUAGAGUCUAUUCUAGUGAAUUCUCAGAACCAAGCUUCCCUGAAUUUCAUUCACGUCGCCUCUCUCGCAGGGUGUAUGGGGAAGUAAUGACUGAUGAGCAGCCUCUCAUAAUGAGGAUAAUUUUCCAUCAUCUUCUAUGACUAACAAGCCCGAGCAGAGAAUGACAUGCUGGGUCACAUUUAUGGCAUAUGUUUUUGUAUAGGAGAGUUAUGUUUUGAUUCUCAACUUCCUGUUUUAGUUAUUCCCUUUUUGUCAUGGAAACAUACACACACGGAGCGUCGUGUAGGCUGCCUGGGGUCUAAUUUCUGGGGGCUGAUCACGGAGGAAGUGAAGGAAGGCUCCAAGCUCCGGGGAGCAGGGGCCACGUCCCUCUCGUCAGGGGUGCUAAGAAUCCUGCUGUCAGAAGGGAGAAGCACACAGAGCUUUGCUGGAGUCUUCACGUGAACCAGAUGUGCACCCGCACGUCGUUGGAGAAGGAUGCAUCUACCUUGGCUCCAAGGAAGCUUGGUUUUGUCCACCAUUCCAUGCCCAGCUCCUGGAAUAAGAGUGGAAUAAAAAUUUGUGGAACGACA